GGUUCUCUGCGCAAAACCCUAAUCAAGAAAUUCAAGUAAUUAGUUUCUAAAUUGCUUGAGAAACGACGACCUGAAAAUGUGUGAUGGAGGGUUUAUGUGACAAAGAGAACGUGAUGGUGGAUUUCAGAACACAGUUACGCAUCACGGGCUCUGAUUCGUCAGAUUAGCGAGCGGUGGUCGCUUCUUCGACAGUUGAGGUUUCGCCGCCAUGGCGUAUGUGUCGGACACAAACUGCCUCUUGGCCGAAACCAAUGACGACGUUGGUCGAUGAUGAUGAUCGCUGACCGCGAGUCGCCAUUUGUGGGUUCUCUAUGCAAAUCAAGAAUUCAAGUAAUUAGUUUCUAAAUUGCUUGAGAAAAGACGACAUGAUGAUUAAGAGAAAGUGAUGGUGGAUUUCAGAACACAGUUACGCAUCAUGGGCUCUGAUUCGUCAGAUUAGCGAGCGGUGGUCGCUUCUUCGACAGUUGAGGUUUCGCCGCCAUGGCGUUGGACUGGUGUCGGACACAGAGUGCCUCUUGGCCGAAACCAAUGACGGCGUUGGUCGUGGUGACGUUGAUGAUGAUGAUCACGGACCACGAGUCGCCAAUUGUGGGUUCUCUAAGCAAAACCCUAAUCAAGAAUUCAACCGUAAUCAAGAAAUUCGAGUAAUUCGUUUCUCAAUUGCUUGAGAAAUGACGACAUGACAAUGUGUGAUGGAGGGUAUAUGUGACGAAGAGAAAGUGAUGGUGGAUUUCGAGAAAUUAGGUUUUGGGUGUGGCCUUCAAUUUGAUGGUUCUUGGAGAGGUAGAGAGAGAGAGUUUGUUACGAGAGAGAGAAAGUGGUUCGAUGGUUCUUGGAGAGGUAGAGAGAGAAAGUUUGUUACGAGAGAGAGAAAGUUUAUGGGAAGUUUGUUGUGAGAGAGAGCAUG
rnacentral:lncRNA from 1 species